rnacentral:misc_RNA from 1 species
CAGUAGUGGAGAAGUUUUCUUAGAUGAUGGAGAGAGUGUGAAAAUGGGAGGAGAGGGAGGGAAGUGGAGCUUGGUGAAAUUUCAUGGUGGGAUGGUAGGGCAUAUAGCCAUGGUCGGAUCAAGCAUCAUUAAUGGAGAAUUUGCAACGAGUAAAAAAUGGAUCAUAGGUAAUGUGACAUUUAUAGGAUUAAAAAAUGCCAAGGAGUUGAAAGGGUAUGAAUUGCAUACAAAAAAUGAAACAAAAAAUGGAAAUUCAGAUGUAAGGGCAAGCUUUGAUAGCAAUAGACAGAUUGCUUCCUUGGAGAUUUUGGGC